rnacentral:lncRNA from 12 species
GUCCCGGGGGGCCGCGGGCGACGCUCCAGCGGAGGAAGUUUGGCCGGAGCGCGGGGCCCGCGGGGCCCGGGGCGGGGGCGCGUUACCUGGCGGAGGUCCUCGGGGUCGCCGUCCUCAGCCCCGCGGUCGGCUCACGACGGACAUCGCCUCGAGGAGGAAGGGGGGGGAAAAAAAGAAAGGGGAAAAAAAAAAAAAAAAGCCCGCAGCCCGGGCUCAUCGUCGUCGCCCCGGAGGGAGCUGCCGGCGCCGCCGAGCGCGGGCGCGGGACCGGGUGCGGCGCGUCUCCCGGCCCGGCUCGCUCUUUCUUCCCUCGUGGGCCGGGCCGCGCCUCCUGCCGCCGCCGCCGCCGCCGCCGCCGCCCCGCCCGCCGCCGCCGCCGCCGAGCAGCCCGCCGGACCAGCAGCCCUCCGCGGCGCGCCGCCGGGAGCGGGCGCGGGCGCGGGAACGAGCGCGAGAGCAAGCGCGGGAACGAGCGCGAGAGCGGGAGCGAGCGGGGGAACCAGCGCGAGAGCGGGAACGAGCGGGAGAGCGAGCGCGGGAACGAGCGCGAGAGCGGGAGCGAGCGCGGGAACGAGAAGGAGAGCGGGAGCGAGCGCGGGAAAGAGCGCGAGAGCGAGCGCGGGAACGAGAACGAGCGCGGGAACGAGCGCGGGAGCGAGCUCGCAGCCGGCCCGCCCGCCGAGGGGCGCUGUUUCGCAGCCGCGCAGCUGGAAUUUAAAGAGACAGAUGCGCGGCGGGGGCGGGGCCCCGGCACCUCCCCGGGCGCCCACCCGCCGCGGCGGACCCCGCAGGCCCAGGCCUCCCUCCGCUCCCGCCGCUGAGCCCAGGCUGCCGGGACGCGGGCACAGCCUCCCUCGGAGACGGAGGGGACGUGACGUGUGUGCUCAACAAGUCGUGCGCCUCUUUGCAGCCGCGCCGGCUUUCCUCCUCGCGCACCGACUUUUUUCGCCGAAGGCACGGGGCACAGACGGGGCGCGCCCCCCACCCGCCCUCCUCGUUCUACGCCCCACCCGCAGCGGAGACGCCCGUGGGCGCGCAGGGAAGCUGGUGGCGGGAGGAGGCCGCGGUCCGAGAUCUUGA